rnacentral:tRNA from 1 species
ACUUUUAAAGAAAGUAGUCAUCCGGUGGCCUUAGGAGCCAAAACUCU